rnacentral:rRNA from 1 species
UACGGAGGGUGCAAGCGUUGUCCGGAUUUAUUGGGUUUAAAGGGUGCGUAGGCGGCUUUUUAAGUCAGCGGUGAAAGACAACAGCUUAACUGUUGCAGUGCCAUUGAUACUGAAGAGCUUGAGUACAGAUGAGGUAGGCGGAAUUUAUGGUGUAGCGGUGAAAUGCAUAGAUACCAUAAAGAACACCGAUUGCGAAGGCAGCUUACUAAGCUGUAACUGACGCUGAGGCACGAAAGCGUGGGGAUCAAACAGG